CAGCAGCCGCGGUAAUACGAAGGGUGCAAGCGUUAAUCGGAAUUACUGGGCGUAAAGCGUGCGUAGGCGGUUUGUUAAGUCUGUUGUGAAAUCCCCGGGCUCAACCUGGGAAUGGCAAUGGAUACUGGCAAGCUAGAGUGUGUCAGAGGAUGGUGGAAUUCCGCGUGUAGCAGUGAAAUGCGUAGAUAUGCGGAGGAACACCGAUGGCGAAGGCAGCCCCCUGGGCCAACACUGACGCUCAUGCACGAAAGCGUGGGGAGCAAACAGGAUUAGAUACCCGCGUAGUCCCUGUCUCUUAUAC
rnacentral:rRNA from 1 species